rnacentral:rRNA from 1 species
UACGGGGGGAGCAAGCGUUGUUCGGAUUUACUGGGCGUAAAGGGCGCGUAGGCGGCCACCGCAAGUCGACUGUGAAAUCUCCGGGCUUAACUCGGAAAGGUCAGCCGAUACUGCGGGGCUAGAGUGCAGAAGGGGCAACUGGAAUUCUCGGUGUAGCGGUGAAAUGCGUAGAUAUCGAGAGGAACACCUGCGGCGAAGGCGGGUUGCUGGGCUGACACUGACGCUGAUGCGCGAAAGCCAGGGGAGCGAACGGG